CCUACGGGGGGCAGCAGUGGGGGAUAUUGCACAAUGGGGGGAACCCUGAUGCAGCGACGCCGCGUGGGUGAAGAAGUAUUUCGGUAUGUAAAGCCCUAUCGGCAGGGAAGAAAUUGGACGGUACCUGACUAAGAAGCCCCGGCUAACUACGUGCCAGCAGCCGCGGUAAUACGUAGGGGGCAAGCGUUAUCCGGAUUCACUGGGUGUAAAGGGAGCGUAGACGGCCAUGCAAGCCUGGAGUGAAAGCCCGGGGCCCAACCCCGGGACUGCUCUGGGAACUGUGCGGCUGGAGUGCGGGAGGGGCG
rnacentral:rRNA from 1 species